UAGCUCAGUUGGUAGAGCAUGGUGUUUGCAACGCCAGGAUUGUGGGUUUGAUUCCCAC
rfam:Salmo salar isolate Sally breed double haploid chromosome ssa09, whole genome shotgun sequence.